rnacentral:rRNA from 1 species
UACGGGGGGGGCAAGCGUUGUUCGGAAUUACUGGGCGUAAAGGGCUCGUAGGCGGCCCACUAAGUCCGACGUGAAAUCCCCAGGCUUAACUUGGGAACUGCGUCGGAUACUGGUGGGCUUGAAUCCGGGAGAGGGAUGCGGAAUUCCAGGUGUAGCGGUGAAAUGCGUAGAUAUCGGGAGGAACACCAGUGGCGAAGGCGGCUUCCUGGCCUGUUCUUGACGCUGAGGCGCGAAAGCUAGGGGAGCAAACGGG